rnacentral:rRNA from 1 species
GGUAGCUAUGCUUGGAAUGGAUAAGCGCUGAAAGCAUCUAAGCGCCAAGCCACUCCCGAGAUGAGAUCUCCCUGGGGCUUCGAGCCCCCUGAAGGGUCCUGGUAGACCACCAGGUAGAUGAGCCGGAGCUAUUGCGGCAAGUUCUACCCUAGAUACGCAUGACG